rnacentral:rRNA from 1 species
UACGUAGGUGGCAAGCGUUGUCCGGAUUUACUGGGCGUAAAGCGCGCGCAGGCGGCCAACUAAGUCAGACGUGAAAUCCCUCGGCUUAACCGGGGAACUGCAUCUGAUACUGGAUGGCUUGAGUUCGGGAGAGGGAUGCGGAAUUCCAGGUGUAGCGGUGAAAUGCGUAGAUAUCUGGAGGAACACCGGUGGCGAAGGCGGCAUCCUGGACCGACACUGACGCUGAGGAGCGAAAGCCAGGGGAGCAAACGGG